GGGUGACCUCAGAUCAGGUAGGGAUACCCGCUGAAC
rnacentral:rRNA from 2 species